rnacentral:lncRNA from 1 species
UCCUAUGUAUUCCGUACAAUUUAUUAUUGAUAAUUAAAGUGUUUGACGACUGUGUGGAAUUACUAAACUGCUCUCUGAUUACUGUGAUAUACUUACAUGUGUUUGUUAACGUACUUGGCUUGUAAAACUUGACUAAAUGGUCCUGAAUAUUUUCCUAUGUGUUAGGAAUUAAUUGUGUUACAAAAAUAUAUGUAUAAGACGCCUUACGGA